UGAAUGGUAGCUAAAUGAAAAGGCACUUGGCCGUUAACCAAGAGACAAUAGGAUAAAAACCUAUCCACUCAG
rnacentral:tRNA from 1 species